UACGUAGGGUCCGAGCGUUUGUCCGGAAUUACUGGGCGUAAAGAGCUCGUAGGUGGUUUGUCGCGUUGUUCGUGAAAACUCACAGCUUAACUGUGGGCGUGCGGGCGAUACGGGCAGACUUGAGUACUGCAGGGGAGACUGGAAUUCCUGGUGUAGCGGUGGAAUGCGUAGAUAUCAGGAGGAACACCUGCGGUGUAGACGGCUUUCUGGACCAUUGCUGACGCUGAGGAGCGAAAGCGUGGGGAGCGAACAGG
rnacentral:rRNA from 1 species